rnacentral:rRNA from 1 species
UGAUCUGACGAGCUUGCUCUGAUUUGAUUUUAUCUGACAAAGAGUGGCGAACGGGUGAGUAACACGUGGGUAACCUACCUCUUAGCAGGGGAUAACAUUUGGAAACAAGUGCUAAUACCGUAUAAUACCAACAACCGCAUGGUUGUUGGUUGAAAGAUGGUUCUGCUAUCACUAAGAGAUGGACCCGCGGUGCAUUAGCUAGUUGGUAAGGUAACGGCUUACCAAGGCAAUGAUGCAUAGCCGAGUUGAGAGACUGAUCGGCCACAAUGGGACUGAGACACGGCCCAUACUCCUACGGGAGGCAGCAGUAGGGAAUCUUCCACAAUGGGCGCAAGCCUGAUGGAGCAACGCCGCGUGUGUGAUGAAGGGUUUCGGCUCGUAAAACACUGUUAUAAGAGAAGAACGGCACUGAGAGUAACUGUUCAGUGUGUGACGGUAUCUUACCAGAAAGGAACGGCUAAAUACGUGCCAGCAGCCGCGGUAAUACGUAUGUUCCAAGCGUUAUCCGGAUUUAUUGGGCGUAAAGCGAGCGCAGACGGUUAUUUAAGUCUGAAGUGAAAGCCCUCAGCUCAACUGAGGAAUGGCUUUGGAAACUGGAUGACUUGAGUGCAGUAGAGGAAAGUGGAACUCCAUGUGUAGCGGUGAAAUGCGUAGAUAUAUGGAAGAACACCAGUGGCGAAGGCGGCUUUCUGGACUGUAACUGACGUUGAGGCUCGAAAGU